rnacentral:rRNA from 1 species
GUGUCAGCCGCCGCGGUAAUACGUAUGGGGCAAGCGUUGUUCGGAGUUAUUGGGCGUAAAGGGCGUGUAGGCGGCUCAUCAAGUCUGGUGUGAAAUUGCAGGGCUCAACCCUGCAGGUGCGCUGGAAACUGGUGGGCUAGAGUUCUUGAGGGGAAGCUGGAAUUCCAGGUGUAGGGGUGAAAUCUGUAGAUAUCUGGAAGAACACCGGUGGCGAAGGCGAGCUUCUAUCAGAGGACUGACGCUGAGGCGCGAAAGCGUGGGGAGCAAACAGGAUUAGAUACCCUGGUAGUCCACGCUGUAAACGAUGUGCACUAGGCGUGGGGCACGUACGUGCUCUGUGCCGUAGCCAACGCGAUAAGUGCACCGCCUGGGGAGUAUGCUCGCAAGGGUGAAACUUAAAUGAAUUGGCGGGG